UACGAAGGGUGCAAGCGUUAAUCGGAAUUACUGGGCGUAAAGGGUGCGUAGGCGGUUGUUUAAGUCUGUCGUGAAAUCCCCGGGCUCAACCUGGGAAUGGCGAUGGAUACUGGGCAGCUAGAGUGUGUCAGAGCAUGGUGGAAUUCCCGGUGUAGCGGUGAAAUGCGUAGAGAUCGGGAGGAACAUCAGUGGCGAAGGCGGCCAUCUGGGACAACACUGACGCUGAAGCACGAAAGCGUGGGGAGCAAACAGG
rnacentral:rRNA from 1 species